rnacentral:rRNA from 1 species
ACGGCUCAGUAACACGUGGACAACCUGCCCUUAGGACGGGGAUAAACCCGGGAAACUGGGUAUAAUACCCGAUAGGUCUCGAUUGCUGGAAUGCAUCGAGAUUUAAAGCUCCGGCGCCUAAGGAUGGGUCUGCGGCCUAUCAGGUAGUAGUGGGUGUAGCGUACCUACUAGCCUACGACGGGUACGGGUUGUGAGAGCAAGAGCCCGGAGAUGGAUUCUGAGACACGAAUCCAGGCCCUACGGGGUGCAGCAGGCGCGAAAACUUUACAAUGCUGGCAACAGCGAUAAGGGAACCUCGAGUGCCAGGUUACAAAUCUGGCUGUCGAGAUGCCUAAAAAGCAUUUCAUAGCAAGGGCCGGGCAAGACCGGUGCCAGCCGCCGCGGUAACACCGGCGGCUCGAGUGGUAACCGUUAUUAUUGGGUCUAAAGGGUCUGUAGCCGGCCGGAUAAGUCUCUUGAGAAAUCUGGCAGCUUAACUGUCAGGCUUUCAGGAGAUACUGUCUGGCUCGAGGCCGGGAGAGGUGAGAGGUACUUCAGGGGUAGGGGUGAAAUCUUGUAAUCCUUGAAGGACCACCAGUGGCGAAGGCGUCUCACCAGAACGGACCUGACGGCAAGGGACGAAAGCUAGGGGCACGAACCGGAUUAGAUACCCGGGUAGUCCUAGCCGUAAACGAUACUCGCUAGGUGUCGGCCACGGUGCGACCGUUGUCGGUGCCGUAGGGAAGCCGUGAAGCGAGCCACCUGGGAAGUACGGCCGCAAGGCUGAAACUUAAAGGAAUUGGCGGGGGAGCACCACAACGGGUGGAGCUUGCGGUUUAAUUGGAUUCAACGCCGGAAAUCUUACCGGGACCGACAGCAAUAUGAAGGCCAGGCUGAAGACUUUGCCGGAUUAGCUGAGAGGUGGUGCAUGGCCGUCGUCAGUUCGUACUGUGAAGCGUCCUGUUAAGUCAGGCAACGAGCGAGACCCCUGCC